rnacentral:rRNA from 1 species
UACGGGAGGCAGCAGUGGGGAAUAUUGCACAAUGGGCGCAAGCCUGAUGCAGCCAUGCCGCGUGUAUGAAGAAGGCCUUCGGGUUGUAAAGUACUUUCAGUCGUGAGGAAGGUGUUAAGGUUAAUAACCUUAGCAAUUGACGUUAGCGACAGAAGAAGCACCGGCUAACUCCGUGCCAGCAGCCGCGGUAAUACGGAGGGUGCGAGCGUUAAUCGGAAUUACUGGGCGUAAAGGGCACGCAGGCGGUUAAUUAAGUUGGAUGUGAAAUCCCCGGGCUUAACCUGGGAAUGGCAUUCAAGACUGGUUAGCUAGAGUCUUGUAGAGGGGGUAGAAUUCCAUGUGUAGCGGUGAAAUGCGUAGAGAUGUGGAGGAAUACCGGUGGCGAAGGCGGCCCCUGGACAAAGACUGACGCUCAUGUGCGAAAGCGUGGGGAGCGAAACAGGGAUUUAGA